GGGCGAUGGUGGAAGGUUUAAUGGGACCAGUUUCUGGAACAUUCGGGACUGCGGCACCUUACGGCCGACCGAGAUUUGGGUCUGCGCAGGCGACGAUGGGUGGUCCGAUGGGCUUCAGGACUUGAUGGCGUAACCCCCGUCUUCCCCCACGUACGUAUUUGCUGGGAUCGGGGGCGAUGUCUCUGCGUAUGUGGGUGCUCUGUCUUUCUCACCUUCUUUCUUGCUUUUUGCUAUUUUUUUUUUUUUCUGAGGGAGGGGUUUUUUCCACUUUAAUUUCUUUUCCCUUAGUGUCAGCUGCUCAAGCCUGACCGAGGUAGAGGAAAGAGGAGCAGGCCGUCCCUGGCGUCCCACCUGACCUCCCAGCCUCUACCCCCAUUUCCUUCUGUCGGGCAGACAGACAGACAGGCUGGUUUUCCAAGUUGUUUGGGUAUCAGUGUCUGUCCGUCCGUAUGGUUCUCAGGUAGAAGGUACGGAGUGAGGAGGAGAAGUGUUGAGAGGAAGGCGAGAGGGGCAGCUUUCUAGGGGUUGCCUUGUUGAAACAUUCGGCCCUGGGAAUCUGGGGCUGUUGGGGAGCAGGUGGGCAGGAUGGGGCGUGGGCUGCGAGAAGUGGGGUAAAGCUGGUAGGUUUGUCACUGCGUAGUUGGGGAAAGUGGGGAAUGGUGACGCAGUCACUGUUGGAUCUUGUUAGGGGCUCUGGGGGGACAGGUAGUGAGGGUCCCAGGAUCUGUAGGGCCAGCUGAGAGGGGUUGAGGAUGAGCUGAGAAGGGAAGCUAGCAUUUAGAGAUUAAAUGUCAUCCUUUUGGCGUUGGAAAGUUGUUUACCUUGUGCUCUCUGUGUCUCCAUGUUGGCACCCUUCCAGUUCACAUGUGAUGGCCUUCCUUGUACUGCUGCAUCAUUAACUAAGUGACUGAGCUGGCCUUCCAUUGGCCAGGGGAGGGCUCUCACUCCAGACACUUCCUCUGAUUGGUGGGUGGACCAAUGGCAGGUGAAAACCUUUUUUUGAUUGGCUGAGGGAAGGGUAUCAAAUCUGAAUUUGCAUUUCACUUGCUUAAAGGGGAGGGGGGGGGAAGCCCAGCAGCUUUCUAAAAUCUGUUUAGGGGUGUGCGUAUGCUCCUGUGUCUGUGCCUGCUUCUGACUGACCAGUUGAAGCCUCUUCCUGUGCCUUUUUAACUUCAUGCACUGUAAGGGAGAGGAGCUGAGGGCUCCCCAAACUUUUGUUUUGGAGGGCCAGGGGUUGGGAAGAUGGGCACGCAGAAGGUUGACCAAACUGGAAGAAAAUACUCGUUCUUUAGUGGGAAUUUUCCGAUCAGCCACACCUCAGCGUUGCGGCAAAAUAAAUCUUGGCUCCCCUGGAAACGCAUGGGCAAGGUAGGGCAGAGCUGCUACUGCUGCUGUUGCCGCCACCCUGGGCUUCCUGCUGACUCCGGGCUCCUCCCCGGGGACAGGAGAUUUGCAUUGACGUCCCAGGCUGUCCAGAGCUGAGCCCAUUAUGGGAAGGACCUGCCUUCUGGAAGCUGCUGCUCCCCGGUGCUUGGAAAGUGAUACUCUCCACGCCUCCUCUCCACUGCACCCACCUGCGGCAGUCCCACCGUCUUCCGUGGACCUCUCCUGAUUACCUUCACAAGAAGCAGCCCUCCUCCCAUCCGGCCAGACUCCCAUACGCUCCAUGCUUCUUUUGUGCUACUGUAGAUGUGCUGUGGUUCUUCGUGUAUAAGUCUUAUGUCACCUAUUAGAUUGUGAGCCCCAGGAAGCUAGGGAAAAGAAGGGAAACAUGUACCUGUGUGGUGCUUUCUGUUUGCCAGGUACCACAUCCGUCUGGUUCACGGCGGUUAUUUCGUUUAUUUCUCACCUCAACCCUGCGAGGAGAGUCCCAUGGCCGGUAAGUGUGUUGAUCGUGAUUAGAACCCUGGUCUGUCAAAGCCUUUGCAUUUUUCUUCUCUCAGUCUUCAGUGUCUGCAGAAUGCCGCAUACGAAGUAGAUCCCCAAAAUGUGUCUAUUUAAGGAGUUUUGUGAGUCCCUGAUGUUCUGUGAGAGUUUGGGUGGCUCAUCCUCCUGCGCCCAAGGUCUGGGUCACUUGGCUCUUCCAUGCCACCCUCCCUGCUGCCUCAUUAACUUUCUCCUCUUUCUUUGAGGCUAGGUUCACCCAAGACAAUGGGGAUUUUUUGUAGCUGAAAUUGAUGGACUAACAAACCUCAGUUUUCCUAGUCUCCUUCCUCUCGAAAGAGGAGGCAGAGGUGGGAUAGGUUGUAGCCUCUUCAGAGCAGGAUAAGCUCCGGAAUCCAGAGAUCAGUGGAGACCGUAGAAGCAGAGACAUGGCGCUUGGGCAGACCUAGGUUUGCAUCUUGACUCUGCCUCAUUUUAGCUGGGUGGUUUUAGACAAGUUACUUGAUUUUUCUAAGUCUUGGUGUUUUCGGUCAGUGAGAUGGAGCCUCUAUACCUGCUACACAGAAAUGCCUAAUAUAUUGCCAAGCAGAUAGGUUCCCGAGAGAGAGUGAUGCAGCUCCAUUCCCCCUGCCCAGUUGUCUAGUGGGGAUUUAAGAAAGGCACAUAGCGGGUGGCUCGAGAAGAACUGGGGGAGAAGGGAGCUUACGUGCAUUCAGUGGUAUCAUAAGCAGGGGCAGGGGAGGAGGUAACCCGGCAGUAUGCACCUGAAGCCUGUGGGGUAGUGCCUUUCCCCCACCUGGAGUAAAUACCCUCUUUUGCAUUAGGAACUUUUGCAUCAGGAAAACACCAUGGAAACGCCAUGAGCAUUGGUGGUGGCGGAGUGAGGGUUAAACAGUGAGCCUUCCUGGGAUCCUUUUGAUGCCAGGUUAGUUUCCCUUCUUUCCAAACGCAGCAGUGGCUGCCUGCUUCCUGAUGCUGUUGCAUCCCAUGGGAGGGGAGUCGGGCACCCUGAAGCCCCCCGUCACCAGUUCCGGGGCUGCAGAGCAGAGAGUGACGACAGCCCGUGAGUCGUCAGCCGACGGCAGCGGGGACCCUGGUGACGGCUGCUUUGUUGUUUUUUUCCUCUUCGGAUGAUGACUCAGUGUGUCGGGAGCCUGGAGAUGGAGCGCUCAGCCGAGUGGCCAGGACGUUCUGUCAACAUGAAAGCAGCAAAAACAGUUUGUCGGGGCUCAGCGCUGACCCCGGGCUGGGGUCAUUUUCAGGAAGGGCUUGGCACAAGAAAGACCACCGCCAGGCACGGGAUUGGGGGUGACGUCGGAUAACUCAAUAGGACCCUAUAGACCCUUGAAUUUUAGAAUCUGAAAAGAAAAUCAGCUGUUUGUGUUUUAUUAGAUGAGCUUGGCAAACAGGAUCACUUCUUGAACUCCUCUCACUGGUCCCCAACGAGAGACAUCUUCCCAGGUUCAGAAAACCCUUUGGGAUUUCUCGAUUGUGGCUUGUUGCCUUGGAUGGAGGGCAGGUCCCUUCUAGGGGGCAGGGGUGGGCCUGGCAGUCCUAGUGCCCGUUAUGGGGAUAUGGAGUCGUAGGUUUCCUCUGCUGGCAUCACGUGAAGGUGGUGGAUCCACAGCACAGGCCUCGAGAUGAAGACCAGCUCUUGGGCAGCCCACUUCAGCCUCUCCUUUCCUUAUUAUCUCAAAUCAAAGUCUUAUCUUCUCCCCUUCAUCUUCCUCAUUUCCUUCUUAGGCGCAGUAGUGGGCCUGAAGCCCUUGACCUUUGCGGCUGUGUGUGUGUCAUCAUGGCGGCUCAGGGUUCUAGACUUUUCUUGAAUCUGCAGCAUUGCGCUUUGUGCGCGUGACACCCCCCCCCCCCCGCUCCGCCCCGCCCACCCGGCCCCGCCCCACCAGGCCUUCUUCGGAGCAAGAGAGAACAUGGGCCUCCAUCGCCACUGAAUCUCAGCCAAACCGUCAUCCCCAGCAUCUGGCCUCCCUCCUCUCCUCCCCCGCUUUCGGCCGGCGUCUGGGGUGGAGGAGCAAACAACUUGUGGGAGGAGAUGGAGGGACAGCCUGGCCUGGAGCUCUCUGCCUCCCUUCCUCGUGUGCCAUUUUUCAGCCUCACGCUUCCUGUGGAUGGAUGAUGCCAGCACUGACAUUUGUCGCUGAGCACUUCCUCUCCCCGAGGACUUCCCCGUGCGACUCUUUUGGGGUCUGGAAAGAGUGGCUCUGGGGCCUUGGGAGCCAGAGAGGACAGGGGGACCUGGCCCAGGUCACAGCAGACUGUGAGACGGGCGAGGGGUGGGAGCUGGCCGACCCCACCCAAGCGCAAAGGCAGCCCCGGCCCCUUUGCGUCAUGUCUUUUGCAGCCUGAGGAGAGAGCAACUUGACCUAAAAAAAUUGUAUAUAUGUGGGUGUUGGAUCCUUUGUGUGUCUUUGUCCAGAAGCUGUGCAUGUGAUGAGAGCCUAGGUUCUGUACUUCAGAGAACUGUUGUCCUUCAGGUUUGUUUUCAGAAAGAUGUGACGGAUGGGCCGUCCUUGAUGAGACCGCGUGCCCGCUGGGACUGGCCUUCCUCCAGGAUGCUGGGCCCGGCGUGGUGUUUCUUCUGUCAGUGGACGAGAACUCAGAGGAGUUCAGCUCCAUGAGUAGGUGACAAACUCCUGGAGACUCAGCUGACGAUGGUGCUGGUGUGCAGAAGACAGUUGUCAUCCUGUGGGAUAAGUGUGUGCCCGUUUGCAUUCAUUUGGAACAAAAAAAGGAGCUGCCUGGCAGCCUGGCUCUCUGCAGUAAGUAUUUUUUUGCAUUCUUUUAUCCCUUCAAACGUCGGAAGUGGAUAGAUGUUCAUUGAACCUAGCCAGCUGCUGUGCCUUCUGCAUUCUUUCCUGCACAUUGCCGCCCUUGGUCCUCCAGAAGAGAGAACUGGAUCGAUUUCCUCAUGCUGCUGGAGAGCUGCAGAGAGGCUAGAACUCAGUGUUCAGCCCCCGCGCAUCCCCCUCACAUUCAGGAGGUGUCGAUUCUCCCUAAAACAGAGAGCCAAAAGUCCGGGUCCCUCAGAGCAGAGUGUUCACGGGCUGAAUGGAAGGGCCCUGCCUGCGCUCAUUGCCCCCAGCAGGGAGGUGAGGCUCUCCGUUGGCUGGCUGGAGGAGCUGGGGGAGGGGGGUGGGCCUUGCCAGCAUCUAGCAUGGUUCUCUGCCAAGUUCUAGCUCCAGAUCUCUAGGCCGCUAGGAACCUAGACUAUAUAUAGCGUUGUGCUAAGCAGUUCUUAUCAGACGUGUCUGCCCUCCCCUGCGGGAGAGGAGCGCUUCUAUCAGAGAACCAGAACCUGGAAAGUGUGAGCCAUCUCCAUGGGGCCUUUUAUGCUGGGGAGGGUGUGUGUGUGCGCGCCCAUGCACACACGCGUGCAUACGUGUAUCUGUGUAUGUGUGUGUGUGUCUGGUUCAGGGCUGCCAAGCUUUCUCUCCUUCCCCCUAUUUCACAUGCUAGUAGAUUCAGCAUCUUGUGGAGGAGGGCGCUGAUGUAGGCUGAGGGCCAGGAGGGGCUGGUGCUUCUCGAAGGUUCCUGGAUCCUGGGUUUGGAGGAGAGAGGCUGGGCACGUGAUGUGGCUGAAAGCACAGUGUGGCCUCCAGUGUGUCUUCCUGGUUUCCGGUUUGCCCUGCUUUGCCCGAGGAUGUCUUUUGACCUCUCUCUUCCUUCUUUUGAACCUGCUGCCUUCCCUGCCUUCCUCCAGCCCUCCCUCGUCCGUUCUUGGAUUUUCUGUGGGAUAUGUGAGGCAGACCCAGCUAUGGGCAUCCGGGAGCUUGUCUGUUCCCCGCCCUCACCCUCGUUUGGGGCUUCCGGAAGUCUGGCUUGACCGGCACAAGGGGCCAGCUGUCCUCAGAGGAGCUGGUGGUGAACGAGCAUGUCAUGCUGGGAGGUAUAGGGCAGAGUGGGCUGGGUCUUUGCCUCCUCCCUUCCAGAGGUGCUGUUGAGCCCCCAGUUUGUGUGGUUCUGUGACUGCAAGUGCUGGUGGAUGUGACGCCAUCCCAGUCUCGUCGGUGAACCAUCACCACCCUGCUUAUUGGAAACCAGGCGUAGCAAGGAAGAUAGGAUUCAACGCCCUCCUUCCCUGCCUCCCAGCCCGCCUCCAAAAGAAUUUAAUCUGCUGGACAACAAACAAUACUGUUAUAAAACUUUGAAAACAAGAGGGCGCGGCCUCCCUGACAAGGAGAAGGGCAUGCCGGGUAAUGGGCGAGGGAGCCUGCCAGGCCCGAGAUGGAGCCAGGCAAGAGCCCAGUUGGCUGGGCACCUGGGUGCCCGCCCCUGCCCAGCCCACCAGCCGUGCCAUCCCCAGUCCAGAGGGGAAGGAACCGAAACAAAAGUGGGGGCAGCGGAGCUCUUGAAAAGGGGAAGUUGUCCUGAGACUGGCAGACAGAGGUCCUGAUAACAGAAUGAGGCUGGCAUAGCCGUGAAGGUACAGCCACCAGCCUGGCCAGCUGCAGGGGAAGCAGGAGAGAAAGGUGUUCCAAGCUGGCUUUGGACUCCAGACCUACCCUCUGUCUGCCCAGCCUCCCGCCCCCCACCUAGGGAAGUGGAACCAGGUCAUGGGCAUGACCCGGUCCAUGUGCUCUGCCAGGAGCCCUGAAACCAGCAUUCCCAGCGGCAGGAAGAUGGAUGAUCUGGGCUCCACUUCCGGCGCUCCUCCCCCACUCUGGCUGGAACUUGCGUCAGUCAUAUCAAGGAGGCCCUCGGGUUGGGUGCCAGGGAGAGCAAGCUGCUUCCAGCCGCAUGAAAUCACCUGGCUACUUGCAACUAGGGGACAAAAUCAGCAUCUGGUUUCAGCCGUGCAGUGGAGACCACAGAGGCACCAGGGUGCUGGAGAACAAAGCAAGUAUCGAAGCACCGGCUCCUUGCAGAACCAGGCGUGCUCUCAUCUCCACCCAAGUUUAACAUGUACAGUCAGUAAUACCCCCCCAUCUAUGCAGAAAUAUUGCCUAGGACUUCCCUUACCCUCAAUCUUCCUCAUAAUUAAGUUCAAGAACAGAAUGAGACGGUAGUCCAGCUACAGAACAGGAGGCAGUGGGCAGAAGAGUAGGAGCACAGACUUUGGAGUCAGACCUGGAAUCGACACCAUUCACUAGUCAUGGGACUGUGGACAAGUUUUUGAACCACACUGAGGAUCAGUUUCUUCUCCUGCAAAAAAGGGAAUACUACCUACUCCGCAAGACUGUUGCGAGAAUUCAAGAGCACAGCUUGGUGUUCAAAUUUUAUUUCCUUCUCUUCCCUAGAGCAGCACAUGAUGUUAUGUCCAGAGGCAUAAAAAAUCAAAGGGUUUAUCUAGAGUCCUGAAGAAUUGGUAGGGAACCGGAGAGAUACAGAUUCUUCUUUCUCUUGGUUGUGGUAUCAGAGGAAAUACAGACAUAGUUUCUUAGCUUCAAACAACCAAAAAAGAUGGUGCAAGUAGGAGAUGGGAAAUCUAAUUUGAACACCAUUUGCAAACCUAAUUUUCAGGCAGAAUUUGAAAACAACACAAAACAAAACUCCAUUCUUUUAUUAGAGGAUUAUCUACUUAGUAUAAUUAUAAGACACUAAUCUUUUUGUGUCACAGUAGAGAAUAAAUAAGAUUGGCAAUUAACGGGGUCAUAUUUGAAUGUCCUGACCACUCACCUAUGGCUGGGAAGGAGGAGCCCAUGAUCUACGUGACUAGGACACAUGGAAGAGUUGCCCUGGCUCAGGUGAAAUCCACCUUUGUGUAGUGUCUAGAGCCUCACAGGCAGAAAGGGUGCUUGUUUCCUGAUGACGUGAGAUAAUAUCGGAAAAUGCUUUUCACACUGUGAAAUAGUUUACAAAGCAGGGCAAUACUAAUGUAAAUAUUAACCCAGUUUAGUAACAGCUUUGGCUAUUUUAUUUUGUCAUAUAUAUAAUAAUAUGUAGGGACUGGUUAUGGAAUUAAAUAACUUAGAAUUCAUGAGUUUUGUAUUGUGAUUGUCUGUGUAAAUUAUCAGCUUAGACUUUCAUGUUCUUUGAGCAUCACUUUGUAACUCUUCUCUGUGCCUUUCUAAUGGAUCCAUAUAUCAUGUCCCGUCACAAGUGGAACUGCAAGAAGACACCUCUGCUCGGGGCAGAGGCUGGGUCUUCCGAUCGCAUCUCCCUUCUUUCUUCAGUGAGAUCCUCUUCUUCUGGAAGCUGGUUUCACAUGGUGGCUUAGAUUUUUCCAUCUUUGUAUCUAGCACCAUUUGAAAUCAGUGUUUUAGGAGUAAGAAUUGCAGCACAGCAGAAGGCCAACCGCAGAGGAGCUGCUGCUCGUGGGAUCAGCUUCCCUCCUUCUGCCACCUGAGCCGGUUCAAGAAGGGAAGAACUUGAGAAUCAAAGUACACUCUUGAGUGUGUUGGGUUGUGGAGGGGGACAGUGCAGGGAUGGGGUUGUGUUCAAUAGAAACUCAGAGGCUUGAGCAGAGCCAGAGGUUGUGAUUGUCUUUCUGUUGACAGGGAGCGGCAACCCCUAGCAGUAGCCUGUUGGUAAGGCCUUUGAGCACAUGCUUGGGCAAUGCUGGGUUGGGUACUUGAUUGCAAUAGGCAAGGGGGGUGUGUGUGUCCCAGAAGGACUCUCUCAUCACAUCAGCACUGUCCACCUGCUCCUACAUGCCGUGAAACAUUCAGCUGCAGUUGCCGAGCGGCUGAAAUCAGACUUGCCACCUGCACUGUCAAGGUGCCGGACCCCACCGAGCACCACUGGACCCAUCUCUUACACAGGCUGACCGAUUUCUCCUGGUGUUCAGAGUCUGUUUUUGUCUAGCACCAUUUGAAAUCGGUUAUGAUGUAGGGGGAAAAGCAGCAGCCUCGAGGCCUCGUGCCAAGUCUGGUCAGCAACAGCCUGGGGCUUCCUGGAAGAUGGAUGCGCAGAGAGAGGGGGAGGAAGGUUAUGCUUUUUCCUGCUAACUUCUUUAACUACAUCUACAAUACUUUAUGCACGGGUAAUAGAUCAGUUAAUGGAUUUUUAGAAGCAAAUCACUAAAAUUUAUCUGAUGUCCUCGGUUUGCUGAAAUGUGGUAGUGAUGUAAACUAUAAAUUGGUUGCUGUUAAAUUAUCUUUCUGUCAUGCAUCCUGACCUUAAUAAAUGCUUUA